rnacentral:rRNA from 1 species
UUAAUGAGAGUUUGAUCCUGGCUCAGGACGAACGCUGGCGGCGUGCCUAAUACAUGCAAGUAGAACGCUGAAGGAGGAGCUUGCUUCUCUGGAUGAGUUGCGAACGGGUGAGUAACGCGUAGGUAACCUGCCUGGUAGCGGGGGAUAACUAUUGGAAACGAUAGCUAAUACCGCAUAAUAGCAGUUGUUGCAUGACAAUUGCUUAAAAGGUGCAAUUGCAUCACUACCAGAUGGACCUGCGUUGUAUUAGCUAGUUGGUGGGGUAACGGCUCACCAAGGCGACGAUACAUAGC